GGUUGAGACCCUUCUUCAGAGUGAGGGCCCGGGGAAAGAGAAACUAGAGUGAUAUCGACGGAUCAUUUACAUAGUUGUGUCUGGUGUCACUGUGCUUCUCCUGAUUCUCAUCAUUACCUUCUUUUGGUACCGAAAGCGUAAAACCAAGGAAUCCAAGUGCAAUACAUCACACGGUGAAGACAACAAUGAAACCCAGG